rnacentral:rRNA from 1 species
UACAGAGGGGGCAAGCGUUGUUCGGAAUUACUGGGCGUAAAGGGCGCGUAGGCGGCCUUCUAAGUCGAACGUGAAAUCCCCGGGCUCAACCCGGGAACUGCGUCCGAGACUGAAAGGCUUGAAUCCGGGAGAGGGACGUGGAAUUCCAGGUGUAGCGGUGAAAUGCGUAGAUAUCUGGAGGAACACCGGUGGCGAAGGCGACGUCCUGGACCGGCAUUGACGCUGACGGCGCGAAAGCCAGGGGAGCAAAGCGGGAUUAAGAAACCCCGAGUACAGUC